rnacentral:rRNA from 1 species
GAUGAACGCUGGCGGCGUGCUUAACACAUGCAAGUCGAACGGAAAGGCCCAAGCUUGCUUGGGUACUCGAGUGGCGAACGGGUGAGUAACACGUGGGUGAUCUGCCCUGCACUUCGGGAUAAGCCUGGGAAACUGGGUCUAAUACAGGAUAGGACCACUUCUUGGACGUUGUGGUGGAAAGUUUUUUCGGUGUGGGAUGAGCUCGAGGCCUAUCAGCUUGUUGGUGGGGUAAUGGCAUACCAAGGCGUCGACGGGUAGCCGGCCUGUGAGGGUGUACGGCCACCUUGGGACUGAGAUACGGCCCAGACUCCUACGGGUGGCAGCAGUGGGGAAUAUUGCACAAUGGGCGCAAGCCUGAUGCAGCGACGCCGCGUGGGGGAUGACGCCCUUCGGGUUGUAAACUCCUUUCGCUAGGGACGAAGCGUUUUGUGACGGUACCUGGAGAAGAAGCACCGGCUAACUACGUG